rnacentral:lncRNA from 1 species
AUGAGAAAGAGGCAGUGCACAGCCACGGCCACGGUCAUGGUCACGGUCGCAGCCACAGUCACAGCACCAGUCACGGCCACGGUCACGGUCACACAGGCGUACGUACAGCGUACAGCUGAUCUCAAGCGCGGCUACAGGAGGUCGACUUUAAAGUGUCCACACGAGUCUCUUCUCGUGCUCUUGAUUGUGGACACAAGAUGGAAAGAUGGACAGCACUCAGGUCCCAAGCAUCUGAGACCAUGUGCGUGUCCUGCGGCCCUGAUCUCCAGCCUACGGCAGCCAAAGAUGCCAUCAGCUAUAUCGCUGGCCGCUCGCAACGGGGCUUCGGAUCAGGCCAAGGGACUCUCUCUACAGGCGGCUGGCAGCUCGCAGGUAUCUGACACCCUGCACAAAGCUGAGCUCCGUCAUGCGUUUCCGUCAUGCUACUCAAACGCCCCGGCUAAUAAUGCACUCUAGAGCAUCGCUGCAAUCUCAAACGCAUAAUUGUGAGUGCAAGGAAGGCCCUUUCAACCUACUGAGCCACUUGAGGAUCCAUCAAGAGGGAUUUGUGGUUAUCGACACCCACAGUGAGGCAUGCCAGGCAAUAGUCAUGAUGGAUCCCGAUGAUGAGGUGUUGGUGAUGCUGCAUUUGUUGUUUUUCAGAGCCUACAUGCCUUGUAAUGCCAGGUGAAAUUCCACGGUGAGCUAUUUGUCCAACAGGAGUAAUGUAAAGCCAGAACAUGUGUAAGCAGGUGUCCACCACAGUCUUUUCCUCUAUGCACUGUAUGAUUCAGAAAUAUGUAGUGUCACUGCUAUUCAUCAAGCUGGUUUAGAAGUAAAGAAUCAACAUGUAAGCUUUUUCCUUUUUUCUUAACCCUCAGAUUGUGUUCUGAUCAAAUAUGACCCAUUUACUGCUUUUAUCUGUCAUAAAUAUGGAACGUUUUAUCCAGUUGACAUCAUCAUGACAUCCUCCACCCUAGGCAUCAUAAAAUAGCAAUAACCAAUUUAGUUGAAUGUGUGUUAUUCCCAUUUUGCACAUCUGUGGUGUGUCCGGUCAGAUCUGGCCAACCGUAGAAUAAAAUAAAGACCAGAUAAUCGAAUUUAAAAUUC